AGCCAAUCCCAUAAAUCUGUUCUCAGUUCGGAUCGCAGUCUGCAACUCGACUGCGUGAAGCUGGAAUCGCUAGUAAUCGCGGAUCAGCAUGCCGCGUGAAUACGUUCCCGGGCCUUGUACACACCGCCCGUCACACCACGAGAGUUUGCAACACCCGAAGUCGGUGAGGUAACCUUUAUGGAGCCAGCCGCCGAAGGUGGGGCAGAUGAUGGGUG
rnacentral:rRNA from 1 species